ACCCUGCUGUGUCCGUGGAAGCCGAUCAAGUUUUGAGCCAACACCAUUACAAAGGGAGCCUGGCUUCACAUGUGGCAUACAUGCCCUGCCCUGCUCGGGGUAUUUGGAAGGGACGUAUAAAGCAUGUGGGAGGGCACCCACCUGCCGGGGGCAGGUUCAAAAACUAUCGGUUGCACGGCACGGUGGGGUA
rnacentral:other from 1 species